rnacentral:rRNA from 1 species
CCUACGGGUGGCAGCAGUGAGGAAUAUUGGUCAAUGGUCGGAAGACUGAACCAGCCAUGCCGCGUGCAGGAAGACGGUCCUAUGGAUUGUAAACUGCUUUUGUACGGGAAGAAACACUCCUUCGUGAAGGAGCUUGACGGUACCGUAAGAAUAAGGAUCGGCUAACUCCGUGCCAGCAGCCGCGGUAAUACGGAGGAUCCAAGCGUUAUCCGGAAUCAUUGGGUCGUAAGGGGCCGUAGAAGUUAGGAUAGAAAUCCGGCAGCUUAACUGUCGAACUGCCAUUGAUACUGUUUGACUUGAAUUACUGUGAAGUAACUAGAAUAUGUAGUGUAGCGGUGAAAUGCUUAGAUAUUACAUGGAAUACCAAUUGCGAAGGCAGGUUACUAAUGGUUUAUUGACGCUGAUGGACGAAAGCGUGGGGAGCGAACAGGAUUAGAUACCCCAGUAGUC